UCGAGAAUAGUCUACAAUGGUCGAAAGCCUGAACUAGCAACACCGCGUGAGCGAAGAAGGCCUUCGGGUUGUAAAGCACUUUUUGAGAGGAUGAGGAAGGACGGUACUCUCAGAAUAAGUCUCGGCUAACUACGUGCCAGCAGCCGCGGUAACACGUAGGAGGCAAACGUUAUCCGGAUUUACUGGGCGUAAAGCGCGUGUAGGUGGUUUGGUAAGUAGAGCGUGAAAGCUCCUGGCUCAACUGGGAGAGGUCGUUCUAAACUGCCGGACUAGAGGAUGGUAGAGGGAGGUGGAAUUCCGGGUGUAGCGGUGGAAUGCGCAGAUAUCCGGAGGAACACCAGUGGCGAAAGCGGCCUCCUGGACCACUCCUGACACUCAGACGCGAAAGCUAGGGUAGCAAACG
rnacentral:rRNA from 1 species